rnacentral:rRNA from 1 species
AUAGCGUAUAUUAAAGUUGUUGCAGUUAAAACGCUCGUAGUUGAACUUCAGACCUGGCUGGGCGGUCCGCUUAACGGCGUGUACUGUCCGGCUGGGCCUUACCUCUUGGUGAGCCGGCGUGCCCUUUAUUGGUGUGCGUCGGGGAACCAGGACUUUUACCUUGAGAAAAUUAGAGUGUUCAAAGCAGGCCUAUGCCCGAAUACAUUAGCAUGGAAUAAUAAAAUAGGACGUGCGGUUCUAUUUUGUUGGUUUCUAGAGUCGCCGUAAUGAUUAAUAGGGAUAGUUGGGGGCAUUGGUAUUGAGUCGCUAGAGGUGAAAUUCUUGGAUUGACUCAAGACCAACUAUUG